CAGAGAAGUAUCUUUUUUCCCCUCAGCUCUGACGCACCUCAGAAGGAGGACCUGGAGGAAUCAAAUUCCCGGAAGGAGGAGGGACGACACCUUUGCAAAAUACACAUUCACAUGAAUGCGCACAACAUGCACGCACAUAGCCACAAUGCUUUGUAUCAGUAUAAAUGAGGAGGAUAACUUAGGUAGGCUUAGGUUUGGCUGAACCAAAGGUCCCGACACAUUGUGUAUUAGUGACCAGAAGCUAAGCUAACGGACCUCCUCUUAAGAGAUAUGUAUUGCUUUUUCUUAUUACUGGCUCAACAAAGAAUUGUUAAUUCUACUCAAUCUCUGGUGUUUUUGCCUUCUUUUAAAAAGUGGAUUUUUGAACACUCUGAUUUAUUAAUAGGUGGUGAAUAAUAUUUUAAA